UACGUAGGGGGCAAGCGUUGUCCGGAUUUAUUGGGCGUAAAGAGCGUGUAGGCGGCCUGAAAGGUCAGCUGUGAAAACUCGAGGCUCAACCUCGAGACGUCGGUUGAAACCAUCUGGCUAGAGUCCGGAAGAGGAGUGUGGAAUUCCCGGUGUAGCGGUGAAAUGCGUAGAUAUCUGGAAGAACACCGGUGGCGCAAGCGGCUUGCUGGGCUGUAACUGACACUGAGGAACGAAAGCUAGGGUAGCGAAUGGG
rnacentral:rRNA from 1 species